rnacentral:rRNA from 1 species
UACGAAGGGGGCUAGCGUUGCUCGGAAUCACUGGGCGUAAAGCGCACGUAGGCGGAUCGUUAAGUCAGGGGUGAAAUCCUGGAGCUCAACUCCAGAACUGCCUUUGAUACUGGCGACCUUGAGUUCGGGAGAGGUGAGUGGAACUGCGAGUGUAGAGGUGAAAUUCGUAGAUAUUCGCAAGAACACCAGUGGCGAAGGCGGCUCACUGGCCCGAUACUGACACUGAGGCACGAAGGCCAGGGGAGCAAACGGG